rnacentral:rRNA from 1 species
CAGAGGGGGCGAGCGUUGUUCGGAAUUACUGGGCGUAAAGGGCGCGUAGGCGGCCUUCUAAGUCGAACGUGAAAUCCCCGGGCUCAACCCGGGAACUGCGUCCGAUACUGGAAGGCUUGAAUCCGGGAGAGGGAUGCGGAAUUCCAGGUGUAGCGGUGAAAUGCGUAGAUAUCUGGAGGAACACCGGUGGCGAAGGCGGCAUCCUGGACCGGCAUUGACGCUGAGGCGUGAAAGCCAGGGGAGCAAACGGGAUUAGAUACCCCGGUAGUCCUGGCCCUAAACGAUGAAUGCUUGGUGUGGCGGGUAUCGAUCCCUGCCGUGCCGAAGCUAACGCAUUAAGCAUUCCGCCUGGGGAGUACGGUCGCAAGGCUG